rnacentral:rRNA from 1 species
AAUAUUCUGCGUACUCUUCUUCUUCAAGCCUCCAUGCCCCCUGUUUAUUGGGCAGAAGCUCUUCGCACCGCAACCUACCUCUUAAACAUCAGACCAACUACUAAACAACCUCACACCACUCCAUUCUUCUCUCUUCAUCAGACAGUUCCACCCUAUGCCUCCUUACAGGUUUUUGGAUGUCUCUGUUAUCCCAACAUCAGCGCAACUACUCCCCACAAAUUAGCUUCUCGAUCCAUUCCUUGCAUUUUUCUCGGUUAUCCUAGUGAGCAUCGUGGUUAUCGCUGUCUUUAUCCAGCCUCUGGUCGUGUCCUUAUAUCUCGGCAUGUUACCUUCGAUGAAAAUACUUUUCCCUUCACUCACGUCACCAAAUCGCUUCCGCAACCACAGCCCACUCCUUCUUCUCCUGCUCAUUCUCCUAUUUUCCUCUCAUCUCCACUACAUCCUACUCCAACCAGCCCUACCACCGUUCCCAUACAGCCCACACUAGCUCCCUCCAAUACAUCCUCAUGUCCUACCUCUCCUGCCUCUGCCCAUGACAAUACCUCUCCAUCUUCAUCUUCCUCUGAUUCCCCGUCCACACCCCCACCUUUGCCUACCAAUGCCAUUCCUGCUGUUCCUCCCUCUAAUCCUCAUAAAAUGCAGACUCGUGCUAAGGAUGGUUAUCGCAUUCCUGCUCGCCGCCUCAACCUUAGUGCCACCACCAACUCUAUA